rnacentral:lncRNA from 1 species
CAAACAUACACGGAAAUGAUUACCGGAAUAUUAUUUUUGGGAUGUGUGUUUAAAAUUUCAACUCACUAAUGUUGCUAAACAUUAUUUUUGUGACCAUGUUUGGAUAAACAAAUUAUUUUGCAGCUUAUAGCAUAAGUGCUUGUUCCUUGCUUGCUAUAGGAUUCUGAUGAUUACCAGAAUUUUAUUUUUGAGAUGUGUGUUUAAAAUUGCCACUUGCCUGUUCAAAAAAAAAUUGCCACUCACUAAUCUUGCCGAACUUUUAUGAUUGUGACCCUGUUUGGAUAAAUAACUUAUGGUGUAGCUUAUAGUAUAAGCGCUUAUCAUAUAAACACUUAUGAAUAAGCUGUUUUUGUAACAAUAUAAAAUAAAGUUAAAUUGGUUUGAUAUAAUCUACUACAUGUUUUCAUAAGCUAUCCUUGAGAGCUUAUGAAAAUAUGCUGAAAAACAACUUAUAAACAUCGGAACAUGUCAUAAGCUGUUUUUUUAGUAAGUUCUUCCAAACAUUGUCACAAGUUCUGAUGCCAGUAAAUAAACUUAAAUAAGUCAAUGCAAAUUGGUCAUGUAUAUGAUAUAAAUGGAAUCUUAACUUUAAAUCAUGGGAGACUCAUGUCCUAUGUUCAUCUUGUUAUUUUAAUUUUAUAAUUUCAACGUGGUAGUGUAAGGAUUUCCCUUAUACUUAAUUGGAGUUAUUGAAGCAUGCUAUUUGCUAAUUGAUGUAAAGCUUUUUAUAUGAACUGCCCACAUCUGCUCAUCUGACGCUGCUUAAAGUACAGACUACACAAUACAAAUUGUUUGGGAUAAUCUUGUUCUGUGUGGAAGAUGUCUUAUUGCUGUUAUUCUCUGUACCCUAAAGUCUUAAUAAUAUUUUUUCCUUUCUAAGAUGCAGUUUAUGUUUGAUAUAACAAUGUUACCAUGAUUUUGACAAACCCACCGUGUUACCAAACGUACACACAUUAUUUCGUGAGUAUUAUUUUUGGUAUGUGUUUACUGUUCAUCCUGGGUGAAAUUGCAACUUACUAAUUUUGCUAAACUUUUAUGAUUGUAUUUGAUACAAAAGAAUCAUAACUUUAAGUCAUGGAAGAUCCCAUCCCGUGUCGAUCUAGUUAUUUUCAUUUUAUAACUUCUUUUGAAAAUAAUGAUGUUAAAUGGACACAGAUGAAGAUGAUUGACAAAAAUAUGGCACCCUUUGUAUUUUAGUAAUCCGUGUAAGCGUGUUAUAGGAUGAAAAAGUGAGAUAGAGCUAUACCUUGUCAUCUACGGUGUCUAAAAUUUUGUGUUUAAAUAACUCAACUCUUUGAAAAUAAUGUCAUCACCUGUGAUUCUAGAUUUUUCUAUGGUUUGAAAAGAAAUUGGUGAAAAUUUAUUAUGUUUGUGACUGGUUCACUCCGGUAUUUGGCUAUUAUUUGGGUUCUCUUGUGUGAGAUGUUUGUGCAUGUAAUUGUGCAAUUUCAACAUGAUAGUGCAAGGAUUUCCCUUUUACUUAGUUGAAGUUAUUAAAGCAUGCUAUUUGCUAAUUGAUUGUGGUAAAACAUUUUUUAUUAACUGCCCACAUUUGCUAACCAGACACUGCUUAGAGUACAGACUACACAAUACACAUUUAUUGGGAUAAUUUUGUUUAGUGUGAAGGAUGUUCUAUUACCGUUAUUUUCUCGUACACACACUUGCUUCUCUUCUAUAAAAAAAAAAAAACUUAUAUUGGAAUGGUUAGCAUACUUGUUAAUGUGUUUUAACUCUGGCUUUUUACCUCUAGGGUGUCCUCAUAUUUUCAUUGUCAGAGUACUAUGUAUAUUUUACAGGUUUAGGAUUUACUUAUUAGUUAUUUUCUUGGUGG